CCAAAAGGGCUUGCCCAGAAAUCCAGCAGUGUCACCUCAUCAGCCAUUGUUGUUGUGAAAAAGAGUAAAACUGAUGGAUCACAGAUAGUUUUUUCUCGCCUUUCAGAAUGGCUGUGCUCUUGAUAGUGGAAAGUAGAGAUCUUUAUAGCAUAUCUAUCUUUGCAGAAAGAUGUGGCGGAAA